UACGAAGGGGGCUAGCGUUGUUCGGAAUUACUGAGCGUAAAGCGCACGUAGGCGGAAUGUUAAGUCAGGGGUGAAAUCCCGGGGCUCAACCCCGGAACUGCCUUUGAUACUGGCAUUCUCGAGUCCGGAAGAGGUGAGUGGAAUUCCGAGUGUAGAGGUGAAAUUCGUAGAUAUUAGGAAGAACACCGGUGGCGAAGGCGGCCCACUGGAUCGGUACUGACGCUGAGGUGCGAAAGCGUGGGGAGCAAACAGG
rnacentral:rRNA from 1 species